CAAAGGGGAACCCUCGCCCAUCUGAUAAAACUGGAAGGGGAACCCUCGCCUGCAUCUCUCUAGCCGCCGCCGCGAGGAUACCCUGCUCAUCAGAUCGAUCUGCGGCCGUGUGCCUCCGUCCAGAAAGCAAAUUAUGAAAACUCCACUGAGGCCGAUCAAGGUUGUGAUGUAUCAAUGUUCCCAUAUAAUCACCCUACUAAUAAGAUAUAACAUAUGUGGUUGGAGGAAACAUGCUUGGAGAUGAAUAUUGUGAUGUUCUUAUUAACGGUCCUACACCAACUGCGGAUGAAAAAUUGCCGAGACCAUAUAAAGAUAUUGAAACUUUCAAAGAUGCUUUGGGUCAUGUUAUUGCUUGUCCUAGGUUCUAUAUAAAAAAGAAGAAAAUCGAGCUCAAAUCAGAC